rnacentral:rRNA from 1 species
AGCGAACGCUGGCGGCAGGCCUAACACAUGCAAGUCGAACGAACCUUUCGGGGUUAGUGGCGGACGGGUGAGUAACACGUGGGAACGUGCCUUUAGGUUCGGAAUAACUCAGGGAAACUUGUGCUAAUACCGAAUGUGCCCUUCGGGGGAAAGAUUAAUCGCCUUUAGAGCGGCCCGCGUCUGAUUAGCUAGUUGGUUGAGGUAAUGGCUCACCAAGGCGACGAUCAGUAGCUGGUCUGAGAGGAUGAUCAGCCACAUUGGGACUGAGACACGGCCCAAACUCCUACGGGAGGCAGCAGUGGGGAAUCUUGCGCAAUGGGCGAAAGCCUGACGCAGCCAUGCCACGUGAAUGAUGAAGGUCUUAGGAUUGUAAAAUUCUUUCACCGGGGACGAUAAUGACGGUACCCGGAGAAGAAGCCCCGGCUAACUUCGUG